UCUAAUGUGGCAGACCUAAGUGCAUUAGGUUUAAGCCCUAAAUAUAAGUUUACUUUUUUAGAA
rnacentral:tRNA from 1 species